GACGAACGCUGGCGGCGUGCUUAACACAUGCAAGUCGAACGGAAAGGCCCUGCUUUUGUGGGGUGCUCGAGUGGCGAACGGGUGAGUAACACGUGAGUAACCUGCCCUUGACUUUGGGAUAACUUCAGGAAACUGGGGCUAAUACCGGAUAGGAGCUCCUGCUGCAUGGUGGGGGUUGGAAAGUUUCGGUGGUUGGGGAUGGACUCGCGGCUUAUCAGCUUGUUGGUGGGGUAGUGGCUUACCAAGGCUUUGACGGGUAGCCGGCCUGAGAGGGUGACCGGCCACAUUGGGAUUGAGAUGCGGCCCGGCCCCCUCCGGGAGGCGGAGGUGGGGAAGAUUACACAAGGGGCGGAAGCCUGGUGCGGCAACGCCGCGUGGGGGAUGACGGCAUGCGGUUUGUAAACCACUUUCGCCUGUGACGAAGCGUGAGUGACGGUAAUGGGUAAAGAAGCACCGGCUAACUACGUG
rnacentral:rRNA from 1 species